rnacentral:rRNA from 1 species
AGCAGCCGCGGUAAUUCCAGCUCCAAUAGCGUAUAUUAAAGUUGUUGCAGUUAAAAAGCUCGUAGUUGAAUUUCGGAGUUUGUCGGUUGGUCGGGCUUCACUGUCCGCACUGGCCUGAUGGAUUCCUACCUUCUGAAUAACCAGCAUGCUAUUAAUUUAGUGCGUUGGGGAAGCAGAGCUAUUACCUUGAAAAAUUAGGGUGCUUAAAGCAGGCUUACGCUUGAAUAGAUUAGCAUGGAAUAAUAAAAUAGGACGGCUUGGUUCUAUUUUGUUGGUUUCUAGGAUCACCGUAAUGAUUAAUAGGGAUAGUUGGGGGCAUUAGUAUUCAAUUGUCAGAGGUGAAAUUCUUGGAUUUAUUGAAGACUAACUUCUGCGAAAGCAUUUGCCAAGGAUGUUUUCAUUAAUCAAGAACGAAAGUUAGGGGAUCGAAGACGAUCAGAUACCGUCGUAGUCUUAACCAUAAACUAUGCCGACUAGGGAUCGGACGAUGUUAAUUUUUAAUGACUCGU